rnacentral:rRNA from 1 species
AGCUGAGUUUGAUCCUGGCUCAGAACGAACGCUGGCGGCAGGCUUAACACAUGCAAGUCGAACGCAUCGCAAGAUGAGUGGCAGACGGGUGAGUAACGCGUGGGAAUCUACCCAGAUCUACGGAACAACAGAGGGAAACUUCUGCUAAUACCGUAUACGCCCUACGGGGGAAAGAUUUAUCGGAUUUGGAUGAGCCCGCGUAAGAUUAGCUAGUUGGUGAGGUAAUGGCUCACCAAGGCGACGAUCUUUAGCUGGUCUGAGAGGAUGAUCAGCCACACUGGGACUGAGACACGGCCCAGACU